rnacentral:lncRNA from 1 species
GACAAGGAAUCUACAAUAUACACGAGAGAUUGUGAAAGAGAAAAGGAAGAGCGUUCAAAAGGGCAUUCAAGAGCAUUCAAAGAGAGGGUUUUUCAAGCCAACUGUUCAACCUUGAUCAAGAGAUCUUUCAAAGCCUUCAAGAAGUCUUCAAUCAAAGUUCACCUUCUCCUCAAGCAUUCAUUCAACUUUUCAUCCACCUUGAGAAAAUCCAAAAAGG